rnacentral:rRNA from 1 species
GACGUAGGGCGCGAGCGUUGUCCGGAUUUAUUGGGCGUAAAGAGCUCGUAGGUGGCUUGUCGCGUCGUCCGUGAAAACCCACAGCUCAACUGUGGGCUUGCGGUCGAUACGGGCAGGCUAGAGUUCGGUAGGGGAGACUGGAAUUCCUGGUGUAGCGGUGAAAUGCGCAGAUAUCAGGAGGAACGCCGGUGGCGAAGGCGGGUCUCCGGGCCGAUACUGACGCUGAGGAGCGAAAGCGUGGGGAGCGAACAGG